rfam:Trichodesmium erythraeum IMS101, complete genome.
GCCGGUGUAGCUCAGUUGGUAGAGCACUCGACUUGUAAUCGAACGGUCAGGAGUUCGAGUCUCCUCACCGGCU